rnacentral:rRNA from 1 species
AGCCUGAUGGAGCAACGCCGCGUGUGUGAUGAAGGGUUUCGGCUCGUAAAACACUGUUGUAAGAGAAGAAUGACAUUGAGAGUAACUGUUCAAUGUGUGACGGUAUCUUACCAGAAAGGAACGGCUAAAUACGUGCCAGCAGCCGCGGUAAUCA